UUUAGAAUGAAAUGUUAAAGGGAGGGUAGCUUCACCAAGACCACUUUACCAAAGUUAGCACUAUCAAGUGUCGUCCCCCAAAAUGCAGUGAUUGACAGUUUCAAACUGUUUUAGUUUGGUCAACUCAAGAAUACUGAGAGCAAUUCCCUAAGGCAGCUGCUGAAGCAUAAAGCAUAGGUUGUCUUGCCAUGACCAGGGAACAUUCCAUUUCCCAAACCAGUUUCGGCUGCUCCUGCCUUACAGGACGAAGCUGAAGGAAGACGCAGGCGUCGAUCAGCGUCAGCGUGAAAGUGCUGAACAACAGCUCCAGCGUCCAUGGAUGUCAGCCCCGAAGGCUCUUCUCAGGUGUAACGUUUCUCUGGAAAAGCUCUUCCACAUCCAUGGCUUCUGCUGUACACCUGCCCCCUGAAAUUUCAUCGCCAGCUCAGAGUUCAUCUUUGAGACCAGACGUCAGCUGCUGGUUCGUCUCAGAGGUUUUCACAGUCAAACUGAAGUGACGACUUCCCGCUGGAGUCUCGCCUCCGUCUAGUUCAUCUCGUUCCUCGCAGUGAGUGGCCACAUCACUAACUGAAGUGCCAAAAUCAGAAACGUUGAUUAUCUCUCCCUCAUCUCUCCUCCAUUUAUAUUUUUAAGUAGUAAAACCUGUUGUCUUAUCUAUUAUUGUAUUUCUCUUGGGUUUUAUGUUUAGAAAAUAUGCUCAUGCCUGAGUGCAGAUAAAACACACUUCUUAUUAAAUAACGGAGCAUGAUUGCUAAGUUAAGGGUCAGGUUAGAGAUCCAGGAGGAGAUCACGCUGCUGAAAAGUGGCCCUAUCGAGGAAAAAGCCCGAGUGUUUUUAGCAAGCUUACAUAAGUCAAAUAAUGUUUAAAAUCAGCAGAAGUUUAACUGAGCCCUUUUUGAACAUAAAAAUUGUAAGACUUUGAGAAGGAAUCUAUUCUAAAGGACUGUGGGAGUCUGUAAAUGAAAAAUAAGAAAGUUAAAAACAGUUGGAAGCCUGAGGGCCUGAUCUUAUAAUUGUUACAUCUUAGUAUUGUUCACAGUUUUCCAUUUAUGAAAAUCUGAGUUAACAGCUUUGGAAUAAAACAAUAUUUACAUUUAUCUUUUUCUUAAUU
rnacentral:lncRNA from 1 species